AUCCGAAGCGAAAGCGAGUCUGAACAGGGCGUCUAGUCAGUGGGGGUUGACGCGAAACUUGGUGAUCUAUCCCUGGCCAGGCUGAAGGGGUGGUAACACACCGUGGAGGACCGAACCGAUAAGCGUUGAAAAGCUUCCGGAUGAGCUGCGGGUAGGGGUGAAAGGCCAAUCAAACUGGGAGAUAGCUCGUACUCUCCGAAAUGCAUUUAGGUGCAGCGUCGAUUUAUAGUUUAUUAGAGGUAGAGCGACUGAUUGGAUGCGGGGGAGUCAAAUCCUACCAAUUCCUGACAAACUCCGAAUGCUAAUAAAUGAUGGUCGGCAGUGAGGGCAUGGGUGCUAAGGUCCAUGUCCGAGAGGGAAAGAACCCAGACCAACAGCUAAGGUCCCCAAAUUUCUGUUAAGUUGAAGCAACGCGGUUGGACUGCAUUGACAGCUAGGAUGUUGGCUUGGAAGCAGCCAUUCAUUUAAAGAGUGCGUAACAGCUCACUAGUCGAGCGGUCCGGCAUGGAUAAUAAUCGGGCAUAAACAGAAUACCGAAGCUAUGGAUUUGUAAAUUAUUACAUCUGGUAGGAGAGCAUUCUAUCGGCGUAGAAGCUGAGUCGUGAGGCUUGGUGGAGCUUAUAGAAAAGAAAAUGUAGGCAUAAGUAACGAUAAAGGGGGCGAGAAACCCCCUCACCGAAAGACUAAGGUUUCCUCAGCCAUGCUAAUCAGCUGAGGGUUAGUCGGGACCUAACGCGAACCCGAAAGGGGUAGUGGAUGGACAAUGGGUUAAUAUUCCCAUACUUGCUCACACUAAAAAGGGGACGGUUCGAUGUAGCUACUGGAGACUGACGGAAUAGUCAAGGCCUAGCCUUCGGGCGAAGCUGCUGUAGUGAACUCGGAUCCAAGAAAAGCCGAAGUGAAGCAACCCGUACCAAAACCGACACAGGUGGUCGAGGAGAGAAUCCUAAGGUGCUCGAGUGAGUCGUGGCUAAGGAACUAGGCAAAAUAGUCUCGUAACUUCGGAAGAAGAGACGCCAGCAGCAAUGCUGGCCGCAGUGAAGAGGCCCAGGCGACUGUUUAUCAAAAACACAGGACUCUGCUAAAUCGAAAGAUGCUGUAUAGGGUCUGACACCUGCCCGGUGCUGGAAGGUUAAGGAAGGGCGUUAGCGUAAGCGAAGCGUUUGACUGAAGCCCCAGUAAACGGCGGCCGUAACUAUAACGGUCCUAAGGUAGCGAAAUUCCUUGUCGGGUAAGUUCCGACCUGCACGAAUGGUGUAACGAUCUGGGCACUGUCUCAGCCACGAGCUCGGUGAAAUUGUAGUAUCGGUGAAGAUGCCGAUUACCCGCAAUGGGACGAAAAGACCCUGUGAACCUUUACUAUAACUUCGUAUUGACUUUGAGUAAGUAAUGUGUAGGAUAGGUGGGAGGCUUUGAAGCAGGCACGCCAGUGUUUGUGGAGCCAACGUUGAAAUACCACCCUGGUGCGUUUGAGGUUCUAACCUAGGUCCAUUAUCUGGAUCGGGGACAGUGCAUGGUAGG
rnacentral:rRNA from 1 species